rnacentral:lncRNA from 12 species
CCGCCCCUCCUGGCCUGGGGGAGGGGACGAGGGAGGUGAGGCCCCGCCCCUCCUGGCUGGGGGAGGGAGGUGGUAACCAGGUGACCCGCCCUGAUAGAGGAGCUGGAGCCUAGAGGACACGUCGGAGUCGGCCAGGAAGGGGAGGCGGGAGCUGGAGGCCGAGGGGACACCCCCCAUCUGAAACCAGACGCUUCCUCUGUGCUCCGUCACCUCCUCCACCCUCUUCACUCCUGCUUUUAACCACGCGGGAACCCUCCAGAGCUCGCCCGCGCAGGGCCCGCCCUCCCCCCGCCUGCCGCCUGACCGCCCACGACCCCGCCCUUACUCCACCGUCUACCCGUCCUGUGUUUUCACACACACGGUCACACCGCAGGACCCUCUUUCCUGGAAGGCAGCUGGUGGCCCCCAGGACUCCGGGACCAGGUACUAUGGAUGGGUGAGGGGUCCUGACCCUCUCUCCAGACAUUCCUCAAGCAACCCUUCCAGCCCCAUGGUAAGCCCUCCCUGAGAGGAAUUCUUAGAAACACAGUGUGCUUCAUCUGGUUGCAUUUCACGGAUGAUUUUUAGCCUUUUGGUGACAUUUUCUUGCCCCUUGGGACUUGAGGGAUAUGCCCCCCAGCCAACCCUCCAACCUGGUUGAAUGGAAAGAAUAGAUGUAGGUCAGAAGCAGGAAGCCGAUUCAGCCCAGGA